rfam:Candidatus Nitrocosmicus oleophilus strain MY3, complete genome.
GGGAUCGUAGUCUAGCUUGGUAGGAUGCCAGCCUUGGGCGCUGGAGGUCGUCGGUUCAAAUCCGGCCGGUCCCA